rnacentral:lncRNA from 1 species
CUUUAAUUGUAAAUUGCACACAGCUGUGAGCUGCUUCUCACGCUGGCACAAAAACACUAUCAUCGACUGUUUCAUCUCUGCGACCUGCUAAUUUAGAGCAUAUGUAACUGUUUUUAAUGCUGAAGGCUUGACAUACCACAAACAGCAGAUGUUGCAGCUGCCCCUGAGACGCUUUAUUUAAUUCAAUUACGUCUUUUGGAGAUAUGUAAAAAAGCUAGGCAAGAUGAGAGAGGGCAGGAGAAUGUUAAAAAUGGAGCCCCUGGUUGAGGCCCAGGUGGCUCGAUAGGCAAAUGAUUGGGUGAAUGUCUAAAUGAUCUUUUUAAUUGAGUAGACUGACGGCUAAUCAGGGUCAUGAAGUGUUAUCACACUGAUGAGCUGAGUGGAGCCCUGGGCUGCUCUGCAAUUAAUGCUGCUUUUGUGAAAGGAGAAAAAAGAAAGAUAAUGUAUACCAUCUGGCAAUUGUUUAUGAUAAAAGCAGCAGUUUGCUGCAAAUUCAAGUUAAACGCUAUUCA